ACUCCUACGGGAGGCAGCAGUGGGGAAUAUUGGACAAUGGGCCACAAGCCUGAUCCAGCAAUUCUGUGUGCACGAUGAAGGUCUUCGGAUCGUAAAGUGCUUUCAGUUGGGAAGAAGAAAGUGACGGUACCAACAGAAGAAGCGACGGCUAAAUACGUGCCAGCAGCCGCGGUAAUACA
rnacentral:rRNA from 2 species